GACGGAGGAUGCAAGCGUUAUCCGGAAUGAUUGGGCGUAAAGCGUCCGCAGGUGGCAGUUCAAGUCUGCUGUCAAAGACCGGGGCUCGACCUCGGAAAGGCAGUGGAAACUGAACAGCUAGAGUAUGGUAGGGGCAGAGGGAAUUCCUGGUGUAGCGGUGAAAUGCGUAGAGAUCAGGAAGAACACUCGUGGCGAAAGCGAGCUACUGGACAAUAUCUGACGCUGAGGCUCGAAGGCCAGGGUAGCGAAAGGG
rnacentral:rRNA from 1 species